ACUAAGGCAAAUUACUCAGUACUACGUGAAACCGUCAAGAGUAAAGCGGGUGGAGGCUCGAAGGUCGAACUGAGGGGAUUCAGCCCGUCGGUUGGCUGCCGUUGGAGGAUGUCACGGUGCGACCCUAGUACUCUAGCUGGGCGUCCCUUCCAUCGGUGUGUGCUGCGGACGGGCGCAUUUCGCCUCGUAGUAGGUCGCCGCGACCCGUUGCUGGGGAGGUCUAAGGACCCAAUGGAUUGGUAGCCCACCGUCGCUCGCGGGUGGUUGUUGCUUUUGCUUGCUCUGCAGGCGUAAGUGGCGUCAAACGAAGAGCAUUUAAGGCGGAUCGGGUGAAACCUUGGGGUUUAUAACACUGGCAUCCCUGCGACGGUCGAUGAGAUGAGCCCCCUUCCUCUCCCUUGCGGAGAGGGUCUGGGGGACUCUCGCGGCGUGAACAGGUCGGCACUCUACCCGUCCCGUCUUGAAACACGAACCACCAAGUAAAAUAGUGGGCCGUGUUGCUGCUCAAAAGAGGAGGGGUGGGGGAGGGUUAAAUGGGGGGUGGGGGCUUUCCAACGCCCCGGAUAGGGGUGGCG
rnacentral:rRNA from 1 species